rnacentral:rRNA from 1 species
AUGUCCGAGGUGGACUCUUGGCAGUUUUGCGCCAAGCUGGUCUGCAAAUUUAUAAAGGGACGGGGCGCGAACCUCAGACGUGAUAUCCGGGAUCGCAAGCAGGCCCUCUUGAGCGCCAUCCAGGUCCUGGACGCCCGUGCAGACUCGUCAGGGAUCUCCCCGGACGAAUGGAGGCUGAGAUAUGACCUCGAGGACCAGCUCUCGGUCAUCUACGCUGACGAGGAGGCCUACUAGAGGCUGCACGGCAGCCAACGGUGGGUGCUCCAUGGUGACGCCAACACGGCCUACUUCCAGGUGAUCGCCAACGGCCGGGGCCGCCGCAAUUCCAUCCACUCCCUGUGGGAAGGCGAUACUCAACUUGUUCGCCCCUCGGACAUCCGAGCCCACGUAGACGGCUUUUAUAAAGCCCUUUUCACCCCCACCCCUCGGGGCCGGGCCGCGCUAGCCCCCGAUACCUGGUCGGGGGCCCAGCUUGUCUCUGCCGAUGCCAACGCCGCAUUGGUGGCGCCCUUCUUGGAGGAGGAGGUCCUUGCGGCGAUCAAAGGAAUGAACCCCUCCUCGGCUCCAGGCCCGGAUGGAUUGUCAGUCUCAUUUUUCAAAACAUUCUGGCAAACCAUCAAACCAGAGGUCAUGGCCCUCUUCGACUAGUUCUUCUCUGGGACAAUGGUCCUUGGGCGCCUGAACUACGGGAUCAUUACCCUCAUCCCUAAGGUUCCGGGGGCCUCGGAUAUUCGCCAGUUCCGCCCGAUCACGGUGAUUAACAUGAUCUUCAGGAUCCUGGCUAAAGGGUACGCCAAUAGGACCCUUCUCGCGGACUCUGUCACCCACCGCAACCAAUCUUCCUGCAUACAAGGCCGUUAUAUUUUGGAUGGGGUGUUGGUCUUGCAUGAUGUCGUCCAUGAAGUCCGGUCCAAAAACCACCGCGCAGUGUUCCUUAAGCUCGACUUUCACAAGGCAUACGACACUGUCCACUGGCCCUUCCUUUGGGAAGUUUUGCUUCGAAAGGGCUUUGACGACCGCUAG